rnacentral:rRNA from 1 species
CGCGUAGGCGGUUUGAUAAGUCAGUUGUGAAAGCCCGGGACUCAACCCCGGAAGUGCAAUUGAAACUGUCAGGCUUGAGUAUGGUAGAGGGAAGUGGAAUUCCUGGUGUAGCGGUGAAAUGCGUAGAUAUCAGGAGGAACACCGGUGGCGAAGGCGACUUCCUGGACCAAUACUGACGCUGAGGCGCGAAGGUGUGGGUAGCAAACA